rnacentral:rRNA from 1 species
UUGCUCCUUGGAUCAGUGGCGAACGGGUGAGUAACACGUGAGUAACCUGCCCCAAACUCUGGGAUAAGCACUGGAAACGGUGUCUAAUACCGGAUACGAGCUUCAGCCGCAUGGCUAGGAGUUGGAAAGAAUUUCGGUUUGGGAUGGACUCGCGGCCUAUCAGCUAGUUGGUGAGGUAAUGGCUCACCAAGGCGACGACGGGUAGCCGGCCUGAGAGGGUGACCGGCCACACUGGGACUGAGACACGGCCCAGACUCCUACGGGAGGCAGCAGUGGGGAAUAUUGCACAAUGGGCGCAAGCCUGAUGCAGCAACGCCGCGUGAGGGACGACGGCCUUCGGGUUGUAAACCUCUUUUAGUAGGGAAGAAGCGAAAGUGACGGUACCUGCAGAAAAAGCACCGGCUAACUACGUGCCAGCAGCCGCGGUAAUACGUAGGGUGCAAGCGUUGUCCGGAAUUAUUGGGCGUAAAGAGCUCGUAGGCGGUUUGUCGCGUCUGCUGUGAAAACCCGAGGCUCAACCUCGGGCCUGCAGUGGGUACGGGCAGACUAGAGUGCGGUAGGGGAGAUUGGAAUUCCUGGUGUAGCGGUGGAAUGCGCAGAUAUCAGGAGGAACACCAAUGGCGAAGGCAGAUCUCUGGGCCGUAACUGACGCUGAGGAGCGAAAGCAUGGGGAGCGAACAGGAUUAGAUACCCUGGUAGUCCAUGCCGUAAACGUUGGGAACUAGAUGUGGGGACCAUUCCACGGUCUCCGUGUCGCAGCUAACGCAUUAA